rnacentral:lncRNA from 1 species
GGUUGUCUAUGAAAAUGCACCUAAACCAAAUGUAGGUUCGAAGAGAGCAACUACAAGAUCGAAGACAAAAGGAGACUCUUGUGAAAGAAGGAAGCUUGGGUAGCUAGAUACACUCAAUCGGCAAGGACUAAAGACAGGUCCUAGACAAGGCCUGGAUGGGAAUCUUCCAGAUAGGCAUCUAAAGCUGAUACAAGAUCAGGGGAGUCUUCUAGCGUAGAUCCACAUGACUGGUUCCCACUCAGCAUGGAGACCUUUGGUGGUCUGGUUUCACUAUCCCACUCUGUGGUGCAAACCCAAGGAGAGAGCAAAAGACCAGGUACUAGGGGAGGCCCACUAAACUUCUUCAUUCUCUUCUAUACGAACGAGAGGAAAGACGCCUUAGCAGUCACUCCACUUGUUAGAUCAAGAAGCCACCCAUGGUCCCGGGCAAGAAAGACACCAGCCGCCAAAGGCUCAAUCCGAGGGACAAGCAGGUUCUGCUGGAGAGGAUGACUCAGUUACAGCUGGAAAGUCUAGAACAUAACAUCAUUCUGGAUAUGCAAUUGUUGGCAUUAGUAGGGGCCUGGUAGAUCUAAACCACUUUACUGCAAACAAACUAUCUCCUCUGCUUUGGGACGACAAGAAGAGGCACCUCACCUAGGGGGCCUCCGGUCCCAAAAACGGAGAAAGUAGACGGAUCAUCUAUUGAAGUAUAGCCUCUUAAGCCACCCUCCUCAUCAUAUUGAGUUCGCGUGGACUCAUAACAUAACAACAAGGCUUGCUCCUUGACACGAGGAAGAAGUCUGCUUCGGGCUGUGCCUUUAGGGUCUCGUUUAUAAUAAUUCUUUCUUGGCUAGUGGGUCACUUGGAGAAGGUCAAGCAACUUAUUCUAUUGAAUGGGCAUCUGGUUCCUAUGCUGAAGGCAUCCCCUUUAUUAGAAUUGGGCACGGGACCCCGAAUAGACCAUUGAGUGGACCAUCCUCUUCUUAUGGUUUAGGAAAAUUCCAAGUAAGCAUGUUGUCAUCAAGCAUUUCACUAUCUUAAAAUGUGGAAUAUAAUGAGGCCAAAAGAGCUGAGAUUGGGUUGGUCUUCUCACCUCGAGGGUUGAUUUUAAUAUUGAUUUGAGUGGCGCCUCACGACCGCUUCAUCGAUAUUAGAAAAAAGGGGAGUGACUCAUGUCAGCACUUCUACCUCGCCUCUCAGUCCGCCCCGCGGCUUCCGCCUUAUCCGAUAGAAGGAGCCCCCUAUUAUUAGGAUUCUCAGUCAUCACUCCUCAACUAAUAGAAUCUUUUGUAUUGAAAGCGAGAGUAAGAAAUAGAUCGAAGAAAUUGGUUUGGUUGAGGCGAGUUCCACGUACAAAAAGAAUGCCGCUACUAUUAUUGGAAUAAGGGGCAGCGCACUCACACCCUUUUAGUGUGGUCCCCGACAAUGGAAACUACGAAGUCAUAUAGAGAAGGCUCGCAUACGAGCGAAUGUGGAGCAAGAACCAUUAUGUGCCUCUCAUCUUAGUGAGUCAUCGGAUGAGCAUUUUUGUAUACUCCGUGUCGGCUAGGUAUUGAUUGCACUCCAUCUCGGUGGGUAGAACAUUCAUUACAGACUGCUGAAGUUCUGCCAUCCACAGAGUGGUCUAUUACAUACACAUUAACAACUCAAAC